GACUAUGGAAACCUGCCAUUUAUUGAUAAACGUUGUGGGACUUUGUUUAAUGAUUAUGUCUAAUUCCAGGAGAAGGGAACAAAAGAGCCAAUAUACAGUGCCAAGUAGCACAAGGUCAGAACAGACCAAAUUCAAUCCAGGGAGGAUUGUUGAACUUCUAUGCCAAUAUGAAAGGUCUUGAACCUAGUGUGUGAAUUGAGGUUGCAGCGCUUGACAUAUGUUAAGAUGCAGGACUUCCUUGAACCACACUACAUGUGCAAUACUUUGAGUCAAGUGCCUCAGGUUGGCUAUCAUUCUGGCUCCCCCUAUCUCUGACAGUGAUGGUACAAUCAGACUAGUGAAUGAUUUUCCCAUUUGCUGCUGAAAUUUAGUCUUUUCUCUCUUAUAGUUUGGCAAUUUUCUUCAGUCGUGGCUGCAAAUGGGUAAAGUGCUGUGUUGCUGCUAUUGCCCUACAGGCUUGUGCGACAUAAAUCACUUUAAUUGGUCCUUGCUGUGAUUCAAGAACCUGUUACAGGCUAUUUUUAUUUUCUAGUCAGAAUUUUAUACAUGUAAGAUUUUUUAUUUUAUUUUUUUUAUCAUUUCUGUAUCUCUUAUUUUUAUACAGAAUUUAAUUUUACCUUUUAUUUGGGAUUUUUUGGGUGGUUUAUAUUUUUUUUGGUUUUUCUUUUGACAAUUAUUUCAUAUACCUCAUAACUCAGACAUGUAUCCCAGUAUGAUUCUGGUGUUGGUCAACACCCUCCUCAGGGGGGAUUGUGUAAUUAUCCUAAAAUGCAAGAUUUAAAAUUUUUUUGGAGAAAUUUCAGGAAAAGAAACUUGCCAACACCCCAAGAUCAAGACAGUGGAUCCUUUUGGAGAAGAAGCAUAUUGAGAAGCUGGAAAAUAUCCAGAGAAACCAGGAUGGCAAAGGGCUCAGAAUCCAUGACAUUUGAAGAUUGGUUGAAGUAACUGGGCAUAUUUAGUCUGAAGAAAAAACGUUUGGAGAGAACAUGAUAACUGUUUCUUUUUUCUUUAAAAAAAAAUUCUUACCUUCUGACUUAGAAUCAAUGCUAAGUAUAGAUUCCUUUUUUCCCCCCCAAAACCUUACCUUACAUCUUAGAAUCAAAACUAUGUACUGGGUCUAAGGCAGAAGAGUGGUAAGGAAUUUGCAAUGGGAGUUAAGUGACUUGCUCAAGGUCACACAGUUAGGAAGUGCCCAAGACCAGAUUUGAACCUAGGACCUCCCAUCUCUGGGCCUGACUCUCAAUCCACUGAGCCACUUGGCUGUCCUCAGUAGCAAUUUGAAGUCAGAAGGGUGGAAUAAAGUGACUUGUCCACGAUCA
rnacentral:lncRNA from 1 species